rnacentral:lncRNA from 1 species
UGACAUCGGCCGCCCUUGCAUCGUGCAGGAGCGCGGAGGGCAAGUGGGCCCAUGAACCCUUUGUGCUUAGGAGUUAGACCGGCGGGCUGGCCUCUCUGUUGAGUCUUAGGUGGGGCUGCGACGUGUCGAUAUUCUGAGGCCGGGCAUGACCCAGAAAAGUGUGUCCGACCAGAGUGUUAUCGAGCGUGACGGGAAACUUGGUGCACCACUGCAGGGAUGAAAAUUAACUAUUCGGAUAGCCGUGUCCACGGUUACAGGACGACUUGGAGUUGUGCCCUGAUCUUAUACAACUACAACUGUUACUUAACUGGAAUUAGUUGCCCCGGGAUUGCUUCCUCGUGGGGAGUCGAGGGAGGAUCUCUGGGCGUGACUUCAUAUUAAUAUUGCUGCAACUAUAUGACUAUUAGUUGUGUUACCUUGCUCUACUCUCGUCUAUUGCUGCAAGAUCCUCAAGAUGCUAGUCCUCGAUAGGACUAGGCAUUCUCUCUCUAUUCUUGCAUUGCUGCAGUCAAUCCUCAUAUAACCACCCCCCUUCUUUGAUACUGAUGCAUACUUCGAAUAGUUCUGAUGUAAGACUUGCGAGUAGUUUGGAUGAGUACUCACCGUUGCUUUGCUCCCCCGUUGCCCCCUUGAUCCGUUGCUGCGACCAGAUGAUGGAGCCCAGGAGAUGGAGGUUCCCGCCGACGAUGACUGCUACUACGUGGAGGCCGCUGAAGAGCAGGAGUAGUUAGGAGGUUCCCAAGCAGGAGACCUCGCCUUGUUCGAUCGUUGUAUCUUUUGUGCUAGCCUUCUCUAAGGCACCCCAUGUUUUAUGUCUGUACUCAGAUAUUGUUGCUUCCGUUGACUAGUGUGUUUAUCGAGCUUUUGUAUUCUAGCCCUCGAGGCCCCUGGCUUGUAAUAUGAAGCUUAUAUUAUUUUAUUUGUGUCUAGAGUUGUGUUGUGAUCUCUUCCCGUGAGUCCUUGGGUAUGAUCGUACGCAUUUGCGUGUAUGAUUAGCAUACGAUUAAAUCGAGGGCGUCACAGAUACCUCGUGUUGGUGUGAACUGAUCCAGUUUCUUUCCAUUGAAUAAAACUAAGGAUGAAACUGACUGCACCAUGCUCAUCAUUGUUGUGAUCCAAGGUUGUGCAAAACCCAUUUUUUCCAUCAUCGCCC